rnacentral:rRNA from 1 species
UACGGAGGGUGCGAGCGUUGUUCGGAAUUAUUGGGCGUAAAGCGCGUGUAGGCGGUUUUAUAAGUCUGAUGCGAAAGCCCCGGGCUCAACCUGGGAAGUGCAUUGGAUACUGUAAGACUUGAGUACGAGAGAGGGCAGUGGAAUUCCUAGUGUAGGAGUGAAAUCCGUAGAUAUUAGGAGGAACACCGAUGGCGAAGGCGGCUGCCUGGACCGAUACUGACGCUGAGACGCGAAAGCGUGGGUAGCAAACAGG